GUAGGUGACCUGCGGAGGUCAACCCCUGUGGGUAAUGGAUAAUAGUCUUUUGUGGACAAGUAAACUCCCCGUGUGUCCAUUGGGCUGGAUGCACGGUGGUAGGUAGACCCGGUCUUCUUGGUGGGGAGGCCUGGGCUAGUUAGGCCUGGUUUUGGGGUGGUAACUAGACUGGACGGUGUACUGACAAAGCCGUUUUCCAGUCAUAGAGCCGUUCCAGUCAGGCCAGGGCAUGUCCGGUCCCAUUUGGUGGUGGGGCGCCCCUCUGUGGCUCUGAGGCCUUGUCAUCCUCAGUGUCCGUCGGAGUUAUGGGUGUUGGGUGCUGCGGGGGGAUUUGCUCUGAUGUGUCUGAUUAACACGCUAGGAGGCAAGCCUUUUUUUUGCAGAGCCCUGUGUACUUGGACUUCAUCACCCAAGUAGACGAAUAUAGCCUCUUUAUGCCCCUAGGGUCGGGCAAGCAUUCUGAGGGACGCCGAUACGAAUGCAAGCCACUGCGGAGCCUACCACAAGUAAAGGUGACAGCUUGCCCCUCGGGGUAAGCAAGCGUUGCAUGUGUGUGUGUUUUUUAGGGGCCUUGGGCUCUAUAUUUAUUUAGGUACUGCUGCAAGGCGGUUCCGAUUGGCCUUGUGCCAAUAACAUGCCAGUGAAGACGUCCUUGUCCCACUCCAUUACACACUACAGGACAAGACCUAGCUGGUCCGCAGGCGGCGGGAUGACUUGGGUUGGAGAGAGAGAGAGAGAGGAGGGGUUCCAGAAGGAGACUGGGUAGCAUAGGUGGCGUUUCUAGGGCGCUGCUGAGGAACAACCGGCCAGUUGGUCCGCGCUACUUGGUUGAUAUCUGGACUUGUUUGGAUGUAAGGCAGGCAUCCCACAGUGUUGGCGUAGUUACACUCGCCACGCCCCCCCUUCCUUCCGUCGUGCCCAAAAUCAUCUGAAGUUAUGGGCCUCGACGAAUUGAUGUGAGUCGAGGGGGUCAUCUGUUUUGACCCGGCAUGGACCUAAACCUACACGCGGUGCCCCUGUUCUUGACUGAUUAGGUCUAUAACAUCAAGCUGAGUUUUCCAAAAUGGGUGAGAUAACUCUCAACAAUGGAUCUCUAGGCUCUUGCAUCGAUGAAGAACGCAGUGAACUGCGAUAACUGGUGUGAGUUGCAUGGCACUUCUAAUCUAACACCAAGCGAAUCAUCGAGUCUUUGAACGCAAACGGCACCCUUCCAGUCCAUUCCAAAGCGGUGGCUGAGGAUGAAGACAAGGGUAUCUCUGUCUGAGGGUAAUGGAAACUGAUCCAGUGUACCACUUUGGUUGCUGGGGAUUGGGCUUGCUUGGGGGUUUUACUCUGGCUUGCCUUAAAAUCAAGCGUUGUGUGUGGAUUGGACUUUCAAGCAUGCAUUGGGGACGCAGGCUCUGCGCUAUAUGGCAAGCCCUUGACCGUCAUAGGUGCUUUGAUUGGGGUUUUCAGUCUAGCCAACAAAGGCUGGGUUGGACUUUGGGGCUGCAUUGGGGGCGUAGGGCAGCUCUGUUCGUGGCGUCCGAUGACCGUCAUGGUGCAUGAUUGGACUUCAACCAGCAAUUAUCAUAUUAUCAUUACUAUGGGUA
rnacentral:rRNA from 1 species